UGGUAUGGCCCAGCAGGUAGGGCAACUGAUUCGUAAUCAGUAGGUCAGCGGUUCGAAUCCGCUUACC
rnacentral:tRNA from 1 species